rnacentral:rRNA from 1 species
GGCUUAUGCCUGCACCAUCGACCGACCAUGAUCUUCUGUGAAAGGUUUGAGUACGAGCAUACCUGUUGGGACCCGAAAGAUGGUGAACUAUGCCUGAGCAGGGCGAAGCCAGAGGAAACUCUGGUGGAGGCUCGUAGAUGUGCUGACGUGCAAAUCGCUUUUCGGACUUGGGUAUAGGGGCGAAAGACUACUAGUAGCUGGUUCCCUCCGAAGUUUCCCCCAGGAUAGCUGGAGCUUGAUCAGUUUUAUCGGGUAAAGCGAAUGAUUAGAGGUACCGGGGAUGAAACGUCCUCGACCUAUUCUCAAACUUUAAAUAGGUAAGACGUCUGGGUUGCUUAAUUGAACCCAGGCACUCAAUGAGAGCUCCAAGUGGGCCAU